AGCAGCCGCGGUAAUUCCAGCUCCAAUAGCGUAUAUUAAAGUUGUUGCAGUUAAAAAGCUCGUAGUUGAAUUUCGGGAUCAGAUUGUCGGUCGUGCCUCGGUACGCACUGGCAUUAUUGGUUCCUACCUUCUGAAGAACCGCGAUGUCAUUAAUUUGGUGUCGUGGGGAAUCAGGACUGUUACUUUGAAAAAUUAGAGUGUUUAAAGCAGGCGCACGCUUGAAUACAUUAGCAUGGAAUAAUGAAAUAGGACGUUUGAUUCUAUUUUGUUGGUUUCUAGGAUCGACGUAAUGAUUAAUAGGGAUAGUUGGGGGCAUUAGUAUUCAAUUGUCAGAGGUGAAAUUCUUGGAUUUUAUUGAAGACUAACUACUGCGAAAGCAUUUGCCAAGGAUGUUUUCAUUAAUCAAGAACGAAAGUUAGGGGAUCGAAGACGAUCAGAUACCGUCGUAGUCUUAACCAUAAACUAUGCCGACUAGGGAUCGGAUGAUGUUAAUUUUUAAUUGUACUCA
rnacentral:rRNA from 1 species